GGUAAGAUGGCUGACAAUAGGCGAUAAACUGUAAAUUUAUUUAUGAAUUCAUAAUUCUUUUACCAG
rnacentral:tRNA from 1 species